rnacentral:rRNA from 1 species
GGUGUGACUGCGUACCUUUUGUAUAAUGGGUCAGCGACUUAUAUUCUGUAGCAAGGUUAACCGUAUAGGGGAGCCGCAGGGAAACCGAGUCUUAACUGGGCGUUAAGUUGCAGGGUAUAGACCCGAAACCCGGUGAUCUAGCCAUGGGCAGGUUGAAGGUUGGGUAACACUAACUGGAGGACCGAACCGACUAAUGUUGAAAAAUUAGCGGAUGACUUGUGGCUGGGGGUGAAAGGCCAAUCAAACCGGGAGAUAGCUGGUUCUCCCCGAAAGCUAUUUAGGUAGCGCCUCGUGAACUCAUCUUCGGGGGUAGAGCACUGUUUCGGCUAGGGGUCAUCCCGACUUACCAACCCGAUGCAAACUACGAAUACCGAAGAAUGUUAUCACGGGAGACACACGGCGGGUGCUAACGUCCGUCGUGAAGAGGG